GCUUCCCAGGAGAAAAAUAUUACAGCUCUUGAAAAAGCCAUCCUUGAUCAAGAAGGGCCAGCCAAGGUGGCUCAUACGCGCUUGGAGACCAGGACACACCGGCCGAACGUGGAGCUGUGUCGUGACGUUGCACAGUACAGGCUAAUGAAGGAGGUUCAAGAGAUCACCCACAACGUUGCAAGAUUAAAGGAAACUUUAGCCCAAGCGCAGUCUGAGCUGAAAGGGCUAUAUCGCAGACAGCUUGCCCUGCAGGAGGAGAUCCAGGUCAAAGAGAACACCAUCUAUAUCGAUGAAGUGCUGUGUAUGCAGAUGAGGAAGUCCAUCCCACUUAGGGAAGGCGAAGACCGAGGGGUCUGGGCCGGGGGCCUCCGCCCUGAUGCUGUCUGCUAAUAGUAGGGCUAGUUCCAAUUCUCAUUAAACCACAUCGUAAACAGUA